rnacentral:tRNA from 1 species
GCCGAGAUGGCGGAACUGGCAGACGCGUAUGACUCAGGAUCAUAUGGGCUUUUGCCCGUGCGGGUUCAAGUCCCGCUCUCGGCA